rnacentral:rRNA from 1 species
UACGAAGGGGGCUAGCGUUGCUCGGAAUUACUGGGCGUAAAGCGCGCGUAGGCGGGUCGUUAAGUCGGGGGUGAAAUCCUGGAGCUCAACUCCAGAACUGCCUUCGAUACUGGCGAUCUUGAGUCCGGGGAGAGGUGAGUGGAACUCCGAGUGUAGAGGUGAAAUUCGUAGAUAUUCGGAAGAACACCAGUGGCGAAGGCGGCUCACUGGCCCGGUACUGACGCUGAGGUGCGAAAGCGUGGGGAGCAAACAGG